GAGAGCUGUACAUUCGGCGGCGAGAGUAAAGGGAAGGAGGAGCCUUGAGAAGAUGGGCAGGCUGGUUGGCUAAUCAGCGCAAAGCCCCGGCUGACGAAUACUACCGUCUGACGCUCGCCUAUGUCCUCACAGAAGACACUGUCCAAGUUGGUGAGCAGAGCACGUGGUAGGUCCGUGACAGCCACGUGAACCCAAGCCGUGUUCCGGUGCUGUGGUGCUGCUUAAGCAGCAGGGCAGGGCAGGGCGUUGGCCGCGGAUGCUGUUCCUGGUGCCUUCUCACUCUUAAUUAAAGUGUCCCAGCCAAAGCCCUCAACCGACUUUCAGCUGUGCGGCCUGCAGCUGUGCCUUUCCCAUUGGGCCUUCUGGUAAGCAUAAGCUGUAACCACUUUAACAAUUAUAACCUGAUAUCCUGCAAGCCAGUAUGUCUUUAAUUCUUUGAUUUUGAAAAAUUAUUAGCAGAAAUAAAUGCCCUCUAGACAAUUUAUAAAUGAGAACUUUCAGGUUUUUGCACAAGUUUGAUGAAUCAUAGAAUCCAUCCUCACUGCUUGAGUAAGAAAAGUCUGGGACAGUGUUCAGAGAAAGACCGAUGUGACUUGGAGAAGUGAGUCUGCUGCUAGGUACUGUUUGCCCACUGUUUGAUGGUUGGUGAUGGAGACAGAAUUCCAGGCAAUGCCUCUACAGGUGCCACAGGCAAAGAUGAGGAUUGCUGCUAUGACUGGAACUGAGCCAGUUCUGGAGGUGUGACUGCCAGGGACAGCACUGUGCUGGUUAUUGCUACUGAAGACUGGGCUAAUAGACUGUGGCAAGGGGGUAUACAGUACUUGUAGCAAUCUAUAGCAACACCAGGCAGUGGGAUUAAUUUCAUCUUCCCCCACCAAAAUAAGAAAGGCCUUUUUGAUGCCCAAACAGGGACAUGAGGAAUUUGAGAUAAGGACAGAGGAAAUGGUAAUGGACAAAAUAUGGAUGAACAAUGCUAGAGGGGGAAGAGGUAAAUGAUUGUAGAGUAUUUUGGUAGUUGUAACUGUAGUGAAGGAAUGAGGGAAGUAUUGUCUGUAACUUUUGUUGGUGUUGAUGUUAUUUUGAUUUUGGUGCAGGGAAUUAUUUUGGUUUAUAUAAGUGAAGUUUGUGAUGAAUGUGUAUUUUAAUGAUAAUUCUUAAACUUACAGUACCCAGAAGUGAGGGAAUGAAUGUGUUGGGUUUGCUGGCAGAGGCAGCAUGGUGUUGGUGACAUGAAGUGGGUUGUUUAUUUUGGUAGGUUUGGGUAGCUGUGGAUAGAGGCUACAGGGGUGGCUUCUGUGAUGAGCUGCCAGAAGUUUCCCCCAUGUCCAGUAUAGCCAAUGCAAGCCUACGCGGUGCUAGCACCUCAGGGAUAAUGUAUUUAAGAAGGGGGGAAAGCCUGAUUAUGGGUUUUCUCUGGUGGUCAUCCCUGUUUCCAUCUUGGGGAGGGCAGAGUUUGGUUCCACUCGUCAUCUGGAACUCCCUGAUGCUCCUUAAUCUUUCUCCCUCCUCUUGCAGUGCUGCCACCAGUGUGAUCAGAUCAGUCUUCUUGGCCACCACUGGCUUCACUGCUCCCAUGCUGCCACCCACUCCCUGGGACAGGCUCUGGCACCUGGGAUAGCAAUGGGUGGCAGCGUGUUCCCACGGCAGCUCUGUCCAGGGGCCACAACCAUUCUGCCGAGUGCCUAGGACAUGGCUUUGUACCAUCCUGUUGGGAGGGUGCCAGGUGGUGCUCAGGAGUGCCUCUGGACCUGCGGGGGGACACACGGAUAGACAGUGUUGCCCUGCUUGGCACUCCUGUAGCGAGCUGCAGGGAGUGCCCCUGGCUGUGGCAAUGCUAUGAGCUCCGGAGAACCUGCAAUUUUCGCUCCCCAAAGGGCUCUCUGUUCUGGACCUGACUUUGUUUCCAUGCUGAGUAAAUGGUUUCAUGAACGGAGCCCGUCUCGGUUGGUAUUUCAUGCUGGUCCCCAGAAUCCUGCUGCUUCCCUGGACGAGAUCCUGAGGUUGCUGACUACAACACCAGCUGAGACUGAAAAAGAUAGUCAGGAAACCUGCCCUGCAUUCUUAGAUUAUUUUAUCCAGAUGAAGACAGCAGUGACCAGAACUCCAAGGGAGGAAUUUAUUGCACCUCUGUAUCAGGGAGUGUGAAACUCAGUGGAGCCAAGAAGAUCGAUCUAUUGGAAGGAGGGUGAGUUAAAACUAAACAAAGAAACUUCUAAAACUUAAGGGGAAUGUUUGAAUCAUGUAUGAGAAUUUAUGAAUAUGUAAUAGGGUUCUGUUGUUAAGGAACAAUCCUUUGUUAGUAAGGUGUGCUCUCUUGGCUGAAUGCUGAGGCACCCGGCCAUAUUUGUAUAUUUUACUUUAUUUCUAUCUCCUAAUUUUCUUUCUAUUAAACUUUUUUAAUUUUAUAUAAAGAAUAUGUGAACCUAAUUUUUUAAAGUUUUAUAGCUGUUAUUUCAGUUAUGUAGCUGUUGAGGGUUAGGUGUCCUUUUUUGUUGUUUUUUUUGUUUUUCUGGCCUGCCUGUGGAAUUUUUACCCAUUAGUUGCUGGGACAACCUAACUGUGAGUACUUAGGGGGUGCUUGACAAAGGACAAAGAGUGGCCGGGCCCAGGGGAAGGGGGAAGGGGGCAGGAAAGAAGGGUGGGGACAGUUUUUGGUUGGCUGUCUUCGGCUUCAGGGAGAGACAUUUUUGUU